rnacentral:rRNA from 1 species
GCCUGCAGCUCGCUCUCUGCAACUCUCACAUGCUCGCCCACUGAAGCUAAACAGGGCUGCACCCAGUCAGUAACUGGAUGGGAGACCACAUGGAAAGCUGGGUUGCUGUUGGAA